AAGGCCGCCUUCUCCUCAGCUUCAAGCAUCUGAAAAAAUUCUUAAUGUUUUUACUUUCAUGUCUGUUGAGUGUUUGUAAGAAUUUUCUUUUGUGUUAAAGAGUCCUCUUGUGAGUGUUAGUGUUCGUAAAAUUUUUUAGUUCGUGAGUGUUUGGCUAUUUCUACUACAAGUACUGUGUUCUAAGAUUAUCACGAUGAGAUGGAUGGCAUAAAAAAAUUAAUUGCUUUUGCAAUUAUAGAUCAAGAUGCGAAAGGAGAAUUGAGAUGGCCAUUGGG